GCUUGGCUUAGUUGGUUAGAGCAUGAUGCUGAAAAUGCCAAGGUUGCAGGUUCAAGCCCCAUAUGGGACA